AAGCAUUUCUUUUAAAUUGAAAGACAAUGCAACUUAAGUGUUGCCACACAUAAAUUAAUUAGCAACACUUAUGCAUUUAUAUUGUGACGCUUUUAGAGUGAGCUGUAUUCAUAAUUCUAAAAGCAACACUUCACAAAUUUGCGCUAAAGAAAUUUAAUAAAAUUCCCCCUUCCUUUAAAAUUUUCCGUGAAACAUUUCCCCCCCAUUUUGAAAGUGCAAACAAUUUCCCUCCUAAUGACAUCAGUUCAUUAGGUUUUCUGUUUUGCCCACCUUCGCCGUAAUCUCCAUAGACACUAUUACCUCCUGUGCCGAAUUUCCCUCCACCCUAAAAUUUGCAGUGACGUCUCAUUUUCUUUCUGAAAUGUGCUCUUAUAUAUGCCAAUAUUUGCUUAAGUGAAAUUCAACAAGGAAAAAGAAAAUUUCAACAGAGUUCAAAUACAGAUUUCAUUCGGGUUUAUUUUAUAAUACUAGUCUUAAGUUUAAAUGUACUUGUGUUUAGAUCUUAAACAUUUCUAUACUAGCUUUGCCUAUUUGCCGAAUUUCUUUUGGGAUUGACCAUUGCAUAUUACCUGUUUGAUGGAAUGUUUGUUUGACCUAUCCUUACCAUUGAAAUCAUUUUGGUUUUGAAGCCAAUUAAUGAAGUGAAAUUUGUUGGAUAAAUAGUAAGAAUUUGAAAGAAUUAGUAGGAAGCAUAAAUUAAGUAUCAAAUAUGGAUGGACAGAAAGCAAUAAUGAGUGUUUAAAAAGGAAUUGAAGCAUUAAGAAGGUGUUUUCAUGAGAUGAAAAUUUCUGGAUCUAUUUGGUUUACUUUUUCUUAUAUGCUUAUAUAUUUUAAUAACUUGUUAGUUUGUACGUACGGCACAAUUUUCAUGUUUGCCACAUCUUGCUUCAUUUCAUAAUACAACUAUUAUUAUGUCCUUUUGUUGUCAAAUUACUUUCUUCAGUGCUUUGUAUGUUUUUAUUUUGCAUUUGAAGCAUUAUAGUGUUCCUUCCCAAUUGUGGAGUUCAAAAUGUCCGCCUAAGUUUUCUACUUAAGUUUGACAUAAAGUUUUUGUAGCAUAAACGUAUAAAUGCUUAUGGCUUAAUUGCAUACAUUGAGGCUUGGUAGUUGAAACUAAAAUAUUUUGUUAUUUAUAUGGUUUGAUAAUUAAAAGAUGUGCAAGAAGAUAUGGUACUUUUUCAUGAAGCUUUAUGAAUUAGUGAUAAAAAUAUGAGAUAGUGAUGAAGAUAUACUUCAAUUACAAUGAGAUUUGGUUUUCUCUAUUGUAAAUGGUAUUUAGUUAUAUGAAAUUCUCUAGCCCAUAAGGGGGAGGGAUGACCUUCACUUGUAUUUUCGUAGGAGAAUAACUUUUUACGAUUAUACAAUCUGGGCACAAAUUCUUAUUCUGACAUUCUAUUGUCUAGUAGUUAAUUCUUGUUCUCUCUCUCUCUCAUUAUUAAUUGUAUAGCUUCUGAAGCUAAGACUGAGGCUCUAGUUUGAUAUUGAAUAAACAUGGCAAUAUUUGAGUUAGGUAGAUCAAUUUGGCAUAUCAAUUGACACAUACUAUUUAUUUUUUUAUGCUAGCGCAAUAUUUAGUUCUAAUGUUAUUAAGACUUUAACUUUGUGGUUGAAAUAUCAAAGUUUAAAUAUAUUAUCCUACUUGUGACUGUAUUGUAUUUUGCAUCAAUUCAGUUCUUGCUUGCUUUAGUAUAGGUUAUACAUGUGGACACUGCAGUGAACGGAGGAUUCUUCAUGUUCUCAAAUAAGAUCAACGUAGAGCAAAAACGAGGAAGGCAAAGAAAAAGGAUAGAGGUACUUUAGAGGUAUGUUAAGGCAUUAUGCACUGGCAUGUUUGGUAGGUAAAGCUGGGUAAACUGACUUUUUAGCUAUUAACUUCCUGCUCUCCUUAAAACUGUUGUAGGAUGAUUAGUUGAUAGAAAAUAUACAUCGACCAGGUAAUCAAACUUUGAACGUGCCAUCUUUGGAAAUAAAAUGUUCUGCAGUAUAUCGAUUGUUGAGCAUAAUAAUCAAUUUGUCGUCUUUCUCCUUCAUUCUUUAUCUCUUAACAUAUGAAUCUUGCAUAUUUCUACUAUUGAUUUGGUCUCUAUUGUGUAUUAUCUCAGCUUAAGAUCGUUCUUUGAGUUCAACUGAAGAGGAAAGUUCUGGUGGAGAAUUAAAAAUGAUGCCAAAAAACUAUUUGAUCUAUUGGAAUUUAACGAUGAAGACUUUGGACAAUUACGAUUUUUAUAAUUCCUGAUACUACAUUUGAUUUUGUAAAGUUACAAGCAUGAACCUUGAAAUAAUUUGCUUCAUUGUAUUACACAAGAUUUAACCUUUUUUUGAAGUUCAUUGUAAGUAUAUGCAAUGGAAUUAUUCUUUUGUUA